GGGUUGUGAGGUUAAGCGACUAAGCGUACACGGUGGAUGCCCUGGCAGUCAGAGGCGAUGAAGGACGUGCUAAUCUGCGAUAAGCGUCGGUAAGGUGAUAUGAACCGUUAUAACCGGCGAUUUCCGAAUGGGGAAACCCAGUGUGAUUCGUCACACUAUCAUUAACUGAAUCCAUAGGUUAAUGAGGCGAACCGGGGGAACUGAAACAUCUAAGUACCCCGAGGAAAAGAAAUCAACCGAGAUUCCCCCAGUAGCGGCGAGCGAACGGGGAGCAGCCCAGAGCCUGAAUCAGUGUGUGUGUUAGUGGAAGCGUCUGGAAAGGCGCGCGAUACAGGGUGACAGCCCCGUACACAAAAAUGCACAUGCUGUGAGCUCGAUGAGUAGGGCGGGACACGUGGUAUCCUGUCUGAAUAUGGGGGGACCAUCCUCCAAGGCUAAAUACUCCUGACUGACCGAUAGUGAACCAGUACCGUGAGGGAAAGGCGAAAAGAACCCCGGCGAGGGGAGUGAAAAAGAACCUGAAACCGUGUACGUACAAGCAGUGGGAGCACGCUUAGGCGUGUGACUGCGUACCUUUUGUAUAAUGGGUCAGCGACUUAUAUUCUGUAGCAAGGUUAACCGAAUAGGGGAGCCGAAGGGAAACCGAGUCUUAACUGGGCGUUAAGUUGCAGGGUAUAGACCCGAAACCCGGUGAUCUAGCCAUGGGCAGGUUGAAGGUUGGGUAACACUAACUGGAGGACCGAACCGACUAAUGUUGAAAAAUUAGCGGAUGACUUGUGGCUGGGGGUGAAAGGCCAAUCAAACCGGGAGAUAGCUGGUUCUCCCCGAAAGCUAUUUAGGUAGCGCCUCGUGAAUUCAUCUCCGGGGGUAGAGCACUGUUUCGGCAAGGGGGUCAUCCCGACUUACCAACCCGAUGCAAACUGCGAAUACCGGAGAAUGUUAUCACGGGAGACACACGGCGGGUGCUAACGUCCGUCGUGAAGAGGGAAACAACCCAGACCGCCAGCUAAGGUCCCAAAGUCAUGGUUAAGUGGGAAACGAUGUGGGAAGGCCCAGACAGCCAGGAUGUUGGCUUAGAAGCAGCCAUCAUUUAAAGAAAGCGUAAUAGCUCACUGGUCGAGUCGGCCUGCGCGGAAGAUGUAACGGGGCUAAACCAUGCACCGAAGCUGCGGCAGCGACGCUUAUGCGUUGUUGGGUAGGGGAGCGUUCUGUAAGCCUGUGAAGGUGUACUGUGAGGUAUGCUGGAGGUAUCAGAAGUGCGAAUGCUGACAUAAGUAACGAUAAAGCGGGUGAAAAGCCCGCUCGCCGGAAGACCAAGGGUUCCUGUCCAACGUUAAUCGGGGCAGGGUGAGUCGACCCCUAAGGCGAGGCCGAAAGGCGUAGUCGAUGGGAAACAGGUUAAUAUUCCUGUACUUGGUGUUACUGCGAAGGGGGGACGGAGAAGGCUAUGUUGGCCGGGCGACGGUUGUCCCGGUUUAAGCGUGUAGGCUGGUUUUCCAGGCAAAUCCGGAAAAUCAAGGCUGAGGCGUGAUGACGAGGCACUACGGUGCUGAAGCAACAAAUGCCCUGCUUCCAGGAAAAGCCUCUAAGCAUCAGGUAACAUCAAAUCGUACCCCAAACCGACACAGGUGGUCAGGUAGAGAAUACCAAGGCGCUUGAGAGAACUCGGGUGAAGGAACUAGGCAAAAUGGUGCCGUAACUUCGGGAGAAGGCACGCUGAUAUGUAGGUGAAGCGACUUGCUCGUGGAGCUGAAAUCAGUCGAAGAUACCAGCUGGCUGCAACUGUUUAUUAAAAACACAGCACUGUGCAAACACGAAAGUGGACGUAUACGGUGUGACGCCUGCCCGGUGCCGGAAGGUUAAUUGAUGGGGUCAGCGCAAGCGAAGCUCUUGAUCGAAGCCCCGGUAAACGGCGGCCGUAACUAUAACGGUCCUAAGGUAGCGAAAUUCCUUGUCGGGUAAGUUCCGACCUGCACGAAUGGCGUAAUGAUGGCCAGGCUGUCUCCACCCGAGACUCAGUGAAAUUGAACUCGCUGUGAAGAUGCAGUGUACCCGCGGCAAGACGGAAAGACCCCGUGAACCUUUACUAUAGCUUGACACUGAACAUUGAGCCUUGAUGUGUAGGAUAGGUGGGAGGCUUUGAAGUGUGGACGCCAGUCUGCAUGGAGCCGACCUUGAAAUACCACCCUUUAAUGUUUGAUGUUCUAACGUGGACCCGUAAUCCGGGUUGCGGACAGUGUCUGGUGGGUAGUUUGACUGGGGCGGUCUCCUCCUAAAGAGUAACGGAGGAGCACGAAGGUUGGCUAAUCCUGGUCGGACAUCAGGAGGUUAGUGCAAUGGCAUAAGCCAGCUUGACUGCGAGCGUGACGGCGCGAGCAGGUGCGAAAGCAGGUCAUAGUGAUCCGGUGGUUCUGAAUGGAAGGGCCAUCGCUCAACGGAUAAAAGGUACUCCGGGGAUAACAGGCUGAUACCGCCCAAGAGUUCAUAUCGACGGCGGUGUUUGGCACCUCGAUGUCGGCUCAUCACAUCCUGGGGCUGAAGUAGGUCCCAAGGGUAUGGCUGUUCGCCAUUUAAAGUGGUACGCGAGCUGGGUUUAGAACGUCGUGAGACAGUUCGGUCCCUAUCUGCCGUGGGCGCUGGAGAACUGAGGGGGGCUGCUCCUAGUACGAGAGGACCGGAGUGGACGCAUCACUGGUGUUCGGGUUGUCAUGCCAAUGGCACUGCCCGGUAGCUAAAUGCGGAAGAGAUAAGUGCUGAAAGCAUCUAAGCACGAAACUUGCCCCGAGAUGAGUUCUCCCUGACUCCUUGAGAGUCCUGAAGGAACGUUGAAGACGACGACGUUGAUAGGCCGGGUGUGUAAGCGCAGUGAUGCGUUGAGCUAACCGGUACUAAUGAACCGUGAGGCUUAACCUUACAACGCCGAAGCUGUU
rnacentral:rRNA from 1 species